GAGAAUGUAGCAGAGCGGUCAAAUGCGCUAGAUUGUAAAUCUGGUCCUUAGGGUACAAUUGUUCGAAUCAAUUCGUUCUCA
rnacentral:tRNA from 1 species